GUGCUCACUUCGGCAGCACAUAUACUAAAAUUGGAAUGAUACAGAGAAGAUUAGCAGGGCCCCUGCACAAGGAUGAUAACGCAAAUUCAUGAAGCAUUCCAUGUUUUU
rnacentral:snRNA from 1 species